UUUAUGAAGAGUUUGAUCCUGGCUCAGGAUGAACGCUGGCGGCGUGCUUAACACAUUCAAGUCGAACGAAGAAGAUUGGAGCUUGCUCCGAUCGGAUUAGUGGCGGACGGGUGAGUAACGCGUGAGUAACCUGCCUGCGAGAGGGGGAUAACAACGGGAAACUGUUGCUAAUACCGCAUAACGCAUCGAUUCCGCAUGGAGAUGAUGCCAAAGGGAAACCGCUUGCAGAUGGACUCGCGUCUGAUUAGGUAGUUGGUGAGGUAACGGCUCACCAAGCCGACGAUCAGUAGCCGGACUGAGAGGUUGAACGGCCACAUUGGAACUGAGAUACGGUCCAGACUCCUACGGGAGGCAGCAGU
rnacentral:rRNA from 2 species